AAAAGGUCAAAAGAGAGGAGAGAUCUGGAGCGUUGACGUGGACGGUUCAGAUUGAGCCGUUGUGUUAUUAGAUUCGUUUCCUAUGGACACGUAUUUAGAAGAAAAUAGUGGGUGGGAGGUGUAUCAUGAAAUUUUGGCAUGAGAUCCCAUAUUCUCUCUUCUCUUCUAAAGUUGUAUAGAAUUUUCUCUCUUUUUUCUUUUUUAUUUCUUUACUAUCUUCUGCAUUUCAGAAUCUUCUUUUUUUUUCUUCUUUCGAUUGAUACUAUGUCCAGAUUCUCUUUUCUUUCUCUUUUCUCUAAAUUCGAGCACGAUCGGAAUAUUGAUAUCGUUCACAAGUCUCAGAUUCGAGUGCCAAUAAUAAGAGUUGUGAAUUGCUUUGAUUGGUGAAGGUAAGAAUCUAUCUUUGCAAAAACGAUUUUACUAACCCUAUCCGUCGUUAACUGUUCACAUGACUACAUCAAAAAAGUUUCAAACCCAAACCAGAAUCAACAUUUAUACCAUGAUUAAAGUUCUACCCUUCAAAUUUGUGGUUAUAGGUAUUUUCAAUCUUUAAUGAUUUUAGGGUUAACAAAUGUCCUUCCUUUUAUUUACAAAAUAGGUUAACUUUUUCUUUCUUCCAUAAUUUUUUAAUAUUUUUUUCAAACUUUAUUUGAUUUUUUAAGUUUGUGUCAAAUAUAAAAGAUCAUGCAUGAAAAAAAUUGGGAUAAAUGUAAAUGUACAAAAAUAGUCAAAUCUAAUUGAUCGUGUUCCAAUUAUAGUAUCAAAUUUAAACGAAAAAAAUGUAUAAAAAUUGUUAAUUACGCACUUUUCAAUAUUUAAUUUGUUUAACUUUUCAUGUGUGAUAUUCUAAUCAUAUUUGAUGCUAUUUGUAGGUUUAGCGUCCUAAGCUUUAAAGCAUUAAAUUUUAAGUUUUUUUAUGUAAUGUUUUAAAUUAUUUAAUUAAUUUCUUGUAUCAAAUAUAUUUAAUUUAUCAUUUUAUCAUUUCAAUCGGUUUACUAUAAAUGUUAUUACAUCGAAUAAACCAAUGAAUAAAUAAUAAUAAUAAUAAUAAUAAAAUAAAAAAAUAAAAAAAAUAAAAAACCUUUUGGGACGCAGAGUCAUAGAAGACUUAUAUUUUGUGUUGAAUGAGCUAAUUCUAAUUAAGAUUGGCUCGUGAGAAGAAGAUCAAGCUAGACUUGAAGGAGGUAGCUCAAAUAAAUCAUGACGCAGUGACAAUAAUGUCAAAGGCUCCUCCGUCAAGAUUUUUGUGAUCUCGUGAGGAUGAAGAAGGCUUCUCGUACUCAAGAGGCAUCAAAAUCCAAAUGUGCACCAGUUACAAUCAAAUCCAAUUUCUAGUACUGCAUCAUCAUCCAAGAUUGUGGAGCCUUCAAUGUCUCUUUGUGAGGAAAUAACUAAUGCGUCCAUUCAAGAGAACGAUGCAUCUGAACCUAUUUGUAAUCCAAGUACAAGUAUGGAUUUCACUGUCAAGAUCAGAAAAGUUGGUCGUAUAAGAUCGUAUACAUCCUUGUUGGUUGUUGGAGCAAGGGUGAGGUUGGCAUCUAUAACACACUGUUGGAUAAAUGUGUUGUUGAUAACUUUGCAUUGUGCUGUUAGGUGUGUUUUACCUUUGUAAAGUUUUAUUUAGAGUGUAAUUGUUAUAAUGGAAGUGACAUAUUAUUUGUUUGAUUGGGUUCUUUCUUUUGUUUUUUUUUUUUAAUUUUUAUUAUUAUGGCUUGAAAAUACUCGAGGCCUGUUUUGAUAAUGAAAGUGGCUCUUAUGAUGUUGAGUUUUGACUAUUUA